CCCAAUCCCUUUAACCCAACCCCUCUUUCCAACCGCUCCAAGCCCAUUUUCCAAUACCUGACCCAACCCCUUUCUUCUCCGCAACGCGCUCUGCAGAAAAUUCGCCAAGACCCCCGAGAACUCUCAGGGUCGCAGCUAGUGUUGAAGUUGCUUCCAAUUACUUGUCUCCCUGUUUCGCUGCUCUUAAGAAGGAUGAAAUCCCUCCUCUUGCAUUCCAAGGGAGUCACAAAGACUCAUACUUCCUUCCAUCGAGUCGAGCAACUACUGGACAAGGCGAACAGAUCCCAAAAUUGGAGAAUACAUGAAAGACCAAGCCGGAGAGUGGAAGAAUGGAUCUUCAAGGCCCAAAUUAUUUUUUUAACAAAGAUUUGUAUUUUGUUGUUAUUGGGCUUAAGCCCCCCUUUAUUAUUUUAUGUAUAACUUGCAUAAAUCCCUUAAAUAAGGAGUCAUCCGAAUACAUAAUUGAUUGUCUGGAUACAUUGAUUAUGAUA